rnacentral:tRNA from 1 species
UGGGGUAGAGCUCAGUGGUCAGUGCAUGCCUAGCAUGCAUGAGGUCCUGGGUUCAAUUCCCAGGACCUCUA